UGUUCUGGUGAGAGUGUUCACCGUGGCAGG
rnacentral:piRNA from 1 species